AUGUGUUCAUGCGAUUCGCAAGAGGAGGAGGAAGAAACCUCUCUGGCUGUCAAGCUCGAUAUGAUGAAGGCGUACGACCGGGUUGAAUGGGAAUUUCUGGAGCAGGUGAUGCGGCGUCUGGGCUUUGUGUACGGAUGGAUUGAUAUGAUUAUGCGGUGUGUACGGUCUGCCCGCUUCGCUGUAAAACUCAAUGGUGGCCUUUCCGAGCUUUUUCUUCCUUCCCAGGGGCUCGGACAAGGAGACCCACUAUCGCCGUACUUGUUCUUACUUUGUGUGGAAGGUUUUUCUUCCCUUCACAAGAGAGCUCAACAGGAGAAAAUGAUUAGUGGAGUGUCAUUUGGAGGCAUUGGCCCCCAUGUGACGCAUCUUCUCUUCGCCGAUGACAGUAUUGUGUUUCUGGAAGGGUCCCGGAACAACUUGGUGGCCCUACGGAACAUUCUUCAGGCUUAUGAGCUAGCGUCGGGACAAAGGGUGAACUUACAGAAGUCAUCCAUUUUCUUUGGAAGGGGUUGCCCGGAGGACCGCAAGAAUGAAUUGAAGGAAGUGAUUGGAAUUCAAUCCGAAGCGUUAAGUGAGAAGUAUCUCGGUCUUCCGACGGCGGUUGGUCGAUCUAAAGAUGGCACCUUUAAAUAUGUCUGUGAGAGUUCUAAAGGAAAAGUGAUGGGGUGGAAGGGCCAAGGAAUGUCAAAGGCUGCGAAAGAAGUGCUUGCCAAAUCAGGGCUGCAAGCCACACCGACUUUCACUAUGAGCUGUUUUCAACUGUCAAAGAAAAUGUGCCGAAACCUGACUUCUAUUUCCUCUAACUUCUGGUGGGGAUCAGCACAUGGUGAGAACAAGGUGCACUGGGUGGCCCGGGACAAAAUGUGUUUGUCAAAGCGAGAGGGGGGGAUGGGAUUUCGGAACUUUGAAGUGUUCAACCAGGCUUUGUUGGGCAAGCAAGCAAGGCGAAUUAUGCAAUCCCCGGACUCGCUUUGCGCUAGGGUUCUGAAGGCAAGAUAUUUCAAAGACUCCUCAAUUAUGAAUGUUACUUGCCCUUCAAAUGGUUCCUUCACUUUCCGGAGCAUCCUACAUGGUCGGGACCUGCUGCGGGAAGGAACUGUGUGGCAGAUUGGAGACGGCUCCAAAGUCCAUAUUCACCACGACAAUUGGAUCCCCCGGAGGAGCAGCUUGCGGCCACUGGGCCAAACUUUCAUCCAGGGGACGACUCGCGUUGCCGACCUGCUGACACCUGAUGGAAGCUCAUGGAACACGGCGAGGGUUGACGCAAUGUUCACCCCUAGUGAUGCUGAUGAUAUUAAGCAAAUCCCUUUAGGAGGCCAGGGUGUUGAGGAUUUUCUUGCCUGGAACUAUACCAAAGACGGCAUCUACUCCGUUCGGUCUGCCUACCAUCUUGGCAUGUCUAUGAGGAGGGCUCGGUCGAACAGCCCUGGAUCCUCGUCCUCGGUCUCUUCCCAUCGGAAUUGGCUGGCUAUGUGGAGUACUCAUGUCCCAAGCAAGAUCAAAGUGCAUACAUGGAGACUGCUCCGCAAUGGGCUGGCCACGGGGUCUGAGCUGCUGCGAAGGCGGAUCAAGCCGGGUAUUUUCUGCCCUGCUUGUGGAAGGGAGGAGACAUUGCUGCACCGUUUCUGGAGCUGCCAUCAUUCGAACCGGUUCUGGAGUGCGCUAUCAGAAUUGCGCUCUAUCCAUGCUGCCUUUCCACCGGACGGCGCCCUAUCUGACCAUGAGGUGGGCCGGUGGCUCUGGAACUGGAUGGGGGGCGCUCGGGACGAGGAGAAGGAGAUGGCCAUGCAGGGCCUCUACAGACUUUGGCUGGCGAGAAACGAGGCACGCGAUGGGGUGCGGAUAAAGAAUCCUGAGGAAGUGGCUACUAAGGUGUCCGGACUCAUGGAUGAAUGGGCAGCGACGGUGCUGAAGAAGUCGAGGGUGACUGAUAAACCACCACCUGAGAAGUGGGUGCCUCCGGAGACGGACUGGGUCAAGCUAAACGCGGAUGGCGCUGUCUCUUUGGCAUCCGGCAAUGGUGGAGGUGGUGUGGUGGCAAGAGAUCAUGAGGGGGCUUUUCGUGGUGCGUCGGCGCAUCUUUUCCCUAACUGUUCCAGACCGGAACUGGUCGAGUUGAUGGCGUGUCGUCAGGCUUUAUCCUUUGGGCGUCAGCUGGGCAUCCAACGGGUUCACGUCGAAAUGGAUUGCAGGGAAGCAGUUAGUAUGGUAAAUUCAACGACUAGAAAUCUGUCGGUUGCUGGGCCAAUUGUGGAAGAGAUCAAAACGCUUAUGAGAGGCUUGGUGGGAUGCAAGAUCACGUGGAGGAGAAGAACGGCGAAUCGUGCAGCCCACAUUCUUGCUAAGGUUGCUGUAGGCGAUGGCAUUUCUCAGGUCUGGAGGAAUGCUCCUCCUGAUUGUAUUCUCUCUGUAAUAGCGAAUGAG
rnacentral:rRNA from 1 species